CCUACGGGUGGCAGCAGUGGGGAAUAUUGGACAAUGGGCGAAAGCCUGAUCCAGCCAUGCCGCGUGUGUGAAGAAGGCCUUCGGGUUGUAAAGCACUUUCAGUGGGGAAGAAAGCCUUGGGGCUAAUACCCUCGAGGAAGGACAUCACCCACAGAAGAAGCACCGGCUAACUCCGUGCCAGCAGCCGCGGUAAUAUGGAGGGUGCGAGCGUUAAUCGGAAUUACUGGGCGUAAAGCGCGCGUAGGCGGUCUGAUAAGCCGGUUGUGAAAGCCCCGGGCUCAACCUGGGAACGGCAUCCGGAACUGUCAGGCUAGAGUGCAGGAGAGGAAGGUAGAAUUCCCGGUGUAGCGGUGAAAUGCGUAGAGAUCGGGAGGAAUACCAGUGGCGAAGGCGGCCUUCUGGACUGACACUGACGCUGAGGUGCGAAAGCGUGGGUAGCAAACAGGAUUAGAUACCCGGGUAGUC
rnacentral:rRNA from 1 species